rnacentral:misc_RNA from 1 species
GUAGGUGAACCUGCGGAAGGAUCAUUAAUGAAUAAACUUGAACAGGCUGUUGCUAGCUCCCCCUGGGGGGCAUGUGCACGCUUGUCAUCUUUGUUUCUCCAACUGUGCACACAUUGUAGACCUUUCGGUUCGAGUUUGGGACUGCCAUCGCGGCCAGGGUCUAUGUCAUUUUUCACAAACCAAUGAAUUUGUUUAGAAUGUUGAAUCAGGUCCUUUUUGUACCUAUAAAAGUUAUAAACAACUUUCAGCAACGGAUCUCUUGGUUCUC